AUGCAGGUUCAGUGAAAUAUUGACUGCCUUGGACAGCCAAGUGGAGAGGAGAAGAGAUGAAGGAAAAAGCUCUAACAGUGAAUGAUGCCACUGGUUUGGCAGUGUGUUAGGAAAUCAGCCACAUGCCGACAAAAUCUGGUCAAGCAGCCACCCAACCCAGAGGAUGUCCCUUAUACUCAUUAGCAUUGUGCUUGUAACAGAGCUUAUCAACGAAACAGCCAACAGACAUAAUCUGUGGUUUAUGCUUUUUCUGUCUCUCUCUUUCUUUAUUAGGAUUGCUGAAGGGAUAUAAUCCACUGCUUUUUAUACUGUUUUUUUCUUGUGUUUGCUUCUGGCUGUGUUCUAGCUCAACCUGACAGAUUUUUCAGGGACUCCGGCUUCCCUCUGUAGGUCUAUGUGGUGGAUUUUGGCUGCCUCUAAAUUGUAAACUCCAAGGCUGUUUAAAGUAAAUAAAUGAUUUGUUAGUGUUGGGAGUGUCUUAUUGCUUAUCCAGAGAUAGAAACAAUGGAAACAGUGAAAUUUGAUCCCAGUUGUGAUAGAUGCUGCUGGCUAGCAGUUAAUCAGUAAAUUAUAAUUAAAUACAGGACAUUGCAGAGUUGCGUUUGGUCUAGGGUCUCAUUCUGUGAAGAGGAUUUUAAAUGGAACUAAGGGAAAAUUUUACAUUUUUUAUUGGUUGUUGACAUUUGUCUUCGCUUAUGCCUAGCCCCUCUCCCAUACCUCCCUCCCCCCCCCCCCAAGUUGCAGGCAGCUACCACUUUGUCUUUCUGCUAAGAAAGAGAUCUUAAAAAUUGUUUCUGGGAUUAUUCGUUACGAUGAUUAUGUAUUUAUCACAGUAGUGCCUAGAGUCCCCUUCUCCUUGCGUACGGCUGGUGUAGAGCAGCAACUACAAUUUCACCUGACGCUGGUGGAGCCAAAUGGCUCCAUCAGGAGUAGCAGAAUGUGUUGCAGUGAUGCCACCUUCAUAUUUAUAAAUUGGGCAGUGGGUAGUGAUAUGUUCGAAGGUCUGUUGUGGGGAACCACAUUUGCACACUGGGGAGCCCUUGAUUUUCCAUUUGUGCAUUAGAUAUCUGCAUCUACCAGGUUUGGUUUGAAUUUGGUUCAGAGCUGACCAAGAUGACUGUGGAAGGUCAAACCCAGGAACCUUUUGUGUGGGAUCCGGCACUAGAUGCUUACUUUUUAAGUCUUGUUUAGCACAAUCUGCUUUCCAAGCCUCCUUCUGAUCGUAGCCUGAUUGCAUGAGGCUAAACAAAUGUUCCCAGAAAGGCUUGGGGGACUGAAGACGUUGCAGGGGCAGGAGGGCAUUGUCAAGAUCUUGGUGGAUAGGAAGACAUCUGCUUUCCUGGGUUCAGUCAGGGCACUGUAGGAAUACAGAAUUGAAGACUGUCCCUGCCCCAACAAAUUUACAAUUUAAGGUCCCACUGCCCUAUGUGUAGUUUAUUAUUAUUAUCAUUUAUCGUGUUUAUUGUUGUAGUGCUUAGGGGACAACUGAGAAUGGGGCCCCAUUGUGGUAGGUGCAGUGGAAACCUAGACAGUCCCGCCCCGAAGAUCUUACAAUAUAAAUAGUCAAGAAAGGAUAAGGGAAGGAUGCGUAACGCACAUGCAGAAUGAGCAGACAGCAAUGUGAGUACCCUGAUUUUUUGGAGGCGGUGGUGGUUAGGGGAUUAUUUAAAUCCUGAGGUUGAGGUUUAGUUAGGAAGAGAUUAGCUAUUCGGAAUGAUGAAAGAAGGGAGGGAUUUGGAGAGAACAACCAAUCAGUACAAGGGAGAGAAUGUCCUGUGUGAAAACAGCAGAAAGCAGUCUGAUGAGAUCAAUCAGGGUCCCAUAGACCCUGAUGAAACUCCUUUUGCAACUGAAUGCCUUCAUUACACUGCCAUGUAAAGGGAAAUGGGGAGAGUCCAGGGUUGCAUCCCAAAAUUGUGUACUAUUACUCAGGCUUCAGGAGGUAGGAAGCGACUGUAGGAGCAAAUGAUUAAGGCCUCCCCAAGGUAACCCCUGUGGGAUGAUGUGGGUGGGUAAUAGUACUAUGAAGGAGGGGCAGGAGUGGAGUUUCUGCCAUCUGCUGGAUGCUGUGUCUUCUACAGGAACAUAGUAGAAGCAGAAAUAGGGGCUGCUCCUUGUAGGAGGCCUGGCAUUGUGCUCUCCUGGAGAGAAUGUGUCUUGGUGUUUCCACUUUCCCGCCCAAAGCAGAACUGAGCCUUCAAGUACAAUCGUGCCCUUAAUUUGUAAACAUUACAGUUCUUUUUAUGAUUGCUAAACCAGUGCCAGAGCCAAACCACACUUGCUCACAGUCUUUCAUGACGAUUCCAUGCUGCCAGGGUAAAAGAUGAUGUAAUAGUUUUAACAAGAGGCCUUCUACCCACUUCAAGCUGAGAAAGGCCCAUUUUAAUUAAAAACUUUUAUUUUCCAACACAGUUUUUAUUCAUGUUAAAAAAAGAAAAGUGCUCCUUACCUUUUGAACGGCAAGGUUUCUGGGCUGAACAAAAUAGGUGGAGCUUUUCUUUAAGCAAAUGUCUGGCAUUAUUUUAGUCUUUAUGCUAAACCAGGGUUAAGGCACCUUCUCAGUCAUGCAAAGGAACAAGUGAGUUGGUGGUCAUUAUAUGGCUGGAGACAAAUUUUUCCAGCACCCAUAGAAAGAUUAGAAUUAGAUAGGAAUUUGCUGUUUAGCCGAGGAAGUAAUUACAAGGCAAGAUCUCAUAUCAUUUUAAAGUUAGCCACUAGAUUAGCUAUUCAUACAUUUUAUUGGUCAAAAUAUGACUAAAUGGAUUACUGUGUGAGAGCUUUGUGGAAAAUAGAAGCGUAAAAGCCGUUUAACUGUCAGUGCAGUAAGGCUGCGGUUAGCUCCGUGUGCUGCUAGUGACUGGCAAUGAAAAUGGUGUUUGGAGAUGAUUUUUCCCCCUCUUUCUUUAUGGAUAGUCAUGGAGUGUUUUAAGAGCUUGGCGGGAAUAAUGAGGCCAGGUAGCUGAAAGAAGAGAAUUUAAGUUUAUGAGAUAAAAAAUAAAGGUCACCAUUUCCUUGCACUUUGUGCAUAGCCAUUUACACUGCAAAGCACAUGGAAAGUGGGCUUCAAAUACUACCAGAAAAGAAUGGUGGCAUUUUGUACACACUUUGUGCAGGUGUAAGUAGCUACAUAUGGGGCACGGGAAAAUCAACACUUUUAAAGAGGUAUAGAAUCA